rnacentral:lncRNA from 1 species
GCAUUUCUUUCAGACCUUGGCAGAGAGCGCCCUGGGAAAUGCGGAUAUAGAAGGUCAGGAGAACAUCUCUCCUGGUUAUACAGCAUUCCAGGUGGGCUUUCAUGUGGUUGAGGAUAAUAUCAUUAGCACCAAAGGUGAAAAUCCGUGGAAGCUCAUCUUAUUUCAGCAGAAGAGUAGGAUGGGCCUUGUGGCACGAGUAAGCCAAACAAGGGAAAGGCAUUCACCAUCAAUUGACUCCUCAUCUGUUUUUAAGAGGGAAAUCUGAGUUUUCAAGGAAAGCCGAAUACAGUUGCCAAGUUGCCAGUCAAAGAAACAAUGUCAACACCUGCUCAUAGAGAUGGAAUUCCUAACCCGGAAUAUUGCCCUUGAAUUACAACGAGAAAAAGCACCUCUUCAAGUGAGAUGGCAGACCACCUCAGGAUGGAAAUGUAUUUCUUCAUCCCCCUCUCUACUUCCCUGUGACCUCCUGCAAAUAAGGGAGAGACAAAGAGAAGAGCAGAAGAACAGAAGAAUGGAGUGGCAAAGAGAAGAGAAGGAGUGACUGAACAUUGACAAGACUUUGGUUGGGGAUGGUCAGAGAGGAGAUUAGCUGCUAGACGGCCACACUGCGGAGAAAGAUCAUUUUCCCACUCCAUCCCCCUUCCAGCUCCCCAUCCAUCUCACCAAGAGCCAGCUCCACCACUCAAUAAAACCUUACAUUCAUCUUUCAA